GCUGCAGCUCCACGUCAAUCAUGCUAAUCAUGCAGAAAACCAUGCCCACGUGUGCACCAGCCCACAGGUGCGUAGAUGACCCUCGCGCAUGCAUGCGGAUUGUGCAAUUCUCCUUCGCACGCGGUAUGCGUGAGCCCAUUGCUGCACACAUGCAAUGCUUGUGCAAUUCUUCUAUGUGGGUGCGACUCACUUUACGUGAGCACAUCUAGCCUGCAUGUGCCGUAAGUGUGUGUGACUUGCUUCAUUUGCGCACUUCUCCUACACUUAUGUAGCAGGGUGUUCGACACAUGUGCACUACCUUGCAUGUCACACAUUCCCAUAUGUGCGAGUCUUCCUCUCUCGCACAUGUGCAUGCCUGCACAUGCGCAUAAAGUUGUUGGUUUGCGCGUCCUCCCUUAGAAGGUUAUCUCCUUGGCCAUGAGGCCUUUAGAUCUUCUCAGGUUUAGCCAACUAUGGGCUUUUCUUCUUAUCCCAUGAUUCCCCACAUCCGAAUGUGUCUUUUUGGGCUUCAGGCCUUCUCUGAAUGAUCUUGGCCUGUUUUGCUUGG
rnacentral:lncRNA from 1 species